UACAGAGGAGCCAAGCGUUGUCCGGAUUGACUGGGCGUAAAGCGCACGCAGGUGGUCGUGCAAGUGUCGUGUGAAAGCAGCUCGCUCAACGAGCUGAGGCAUGGCAGACUGUACAACUUGAGCCCGUGAGAGGUCGGUGGAAUUGCCGGUGUAGUAGUGAAAUACGUAGAGAUCGGCAGGAAUACCCAAGGGGAAGCCAGCCGACUGGCACGGUGCUGACACUGAGGUGCGACAGCGUGGGGAGCAAACGGG
rnacentral:rRNA from 1 species